UGGGGAAUAUUGCGCAAUGGGCGAAAGCCUGACGCAGCGACGCCGCGUGGGUGAUGAAGUUCUUCGGAACGUAAAACCCUGUCAGGAGGGACGAAGAUCUGACGGUACCUCCAAAGGAAGCCCCGGCUAACUCCGUGCCAGCAGCCGCGGUAAUACGGGGGGGGCGAGCGUUAUUCGGAAUCACUGGGUGUAAAGGGCGCGUAGGUGGCCAAGCAGGUCAGGUGUGAAAUCCCUCGGCUUAACUGAGGAACUGCGCUUGAAACCGCAUGGCUAGAGUACAGGAGAGGUGGGCGGAAUUCCCGGUGUAGCGGUGAAAUGCGUAGAUAUCGGGAAGAACAUCGGUGGCGAAGGCGGCUCACUGGACUGUAACUGACGCUGAGGCGCGAAAGCGUGGGGAGCGAACGGG
rnacentral:rRNA from 1 species